CAGUGAAUAGGCCCAGGCGACUGUUUAGCAAAAACACAGGUCUCUGCGAAGCCGCAAGGCGAAGUAUAGGGGCUGACGCCUGCCCGGUGCUGGAAGGUUAAGAGGAGAGCUUAGCGCAAGCGAAGGUUUGAAUUGAAGCCCCAGUAAACGGCGGCCGUAACUAUAACGGUCCUAAGGUAGCGAAAUUCCUUGUCGGGUAAGUUCCGACCCGCACGAAAGGCGUAACGAUCUGGG
rnacentral:rRNA from 12 species